AACACAAAGGGAAACUUGUAUUAUAACCCAAGGAAAAGAAAGCAUUACUCCAGUCAGAAACUACUGCUUUCCCAAGUGACAGAACCAGAAAAAUCACAAUAUCAGUCCCUCUGGCAGGAGACAGAAGAAAAUACGGAGAAUAUGGACUUCAAUAUCUUAACCCACGACAACCAAGAUAUCUUGCCAAAAGUGAUAAAGAAAGCACCUGCAUUCGCCGAAAGGCUCUGUAUCUCAUGUUGCAGAUGUGGUCCCAGGCACCAAAACCUACAAAAGAAAGAAUCUAUAUAUAGGCCAGAGCAACCUUAUGGGACCACACCCUUCCUAGGCUCUCCUUGUCUUUCUAACCUUUGAAGUAAGAGGUUGUUUUCAGUGUUCUCCAAUGACAAACUGGAAAAUA